UCACUGGCGUUGGCGCUUUGGAGCCACACAACGAUGCACGGGACGGGAAGCAUCCCCAAAGGAUCACAUCCUGGACGAGCGAGGCGGGAUUGCCUACCCCAGGAAAGAAUCACAUCCCGCGACCACGAUAUGUCGGAACUCGGCCCAGAAAUGUUCUUGACAUGAGCAAGAGAAGUCUAUGGAGUCAUUUUACCCAAAAGAAUAGGAAGAUCGGCCUGGAGGUGACCUGAAUUUGACAUUAGCAAAGCAGCCUAUGUGUCACCUGAUGUAUGCUGAGUUGGCGUCGCAGCAUACAGUAGGAGGAAUCGCUCCUUUUUCUCAUGAUCGCAGGAAUGAAUCUGGUAUUCAGAUUCGCUCCAAGUCACCAGCAGAAACAAGCCGGCUACUUGAGGAAGACUUUACUCUUAUAAUGUAAAUGAUUUGAAACAAUAAAGAAUAAAAAAUGCCUACAUCU